UACGUAGGGGGCAAGCGUUGUCCGGAAUCAUUGGGCGUAAAGCGCGUGUAGGCGGUCCGGUAAGUCCGCUGUGAAAGUCGGGGGCUCAACCCUCGGAUGCCGGUGGAUACUGUCGGACUAGAGUACAGAAGGGGCAACUGGAAUUCUCGGUGUAGCGGUGAAAUGCGUAGAUAUCGAGAGGAACACCUGCGGCGAAGGCGGGUUGCUGGGCUGAUACUGACGCUGAGGCGCGAAAGCCAGGGGAGCGAACGGG
rnacentral:rRNA from 1 species